UUGGCCCUGUUGAAUGAUGAUUAUUGAGUGAUCCAUCGGCUGAGUUUUGUCACUGUGCUGAUACUUUAAAACCUGACAACACCAA